GUAGGUGAACCUGCGGAAGGAUCAUUCACACUGGCGCAAUUGGCAACAAUUGCAACAAAAAAAUACCAAAAAAACAAAACCAAAACGAGCUAUGUACAACCAGCCUUUUCUGUUUGCUCAGAACUGUGAAAUUUUGACACUUCGGGAAGGACGCGACAGUCUGUGGCCGUGGUCAUGAAGAACCGCCAGGAGUCUAUGCUACGGAAGCAGCUUUGGCACAAUACCCCUCAACCCCGUCUUGCCUCCGGGCAUGUCAUUCUGUCUAAGCCUUCGGGCACUACGAAAACAAAAUAAGUUGAAUACAACUCUUUGCAAUGGAUAUCUAGGUUCUC
rnacentral:misc_RNA from 1 species